CUUACAAAAGUGACUCAGAACAGUAAUGCAGGAUAAUCGCAAGAAAGGCAGGCAGGGGCAAGGGGCUCCUGCUCUAAGAAGAAACCACCCUUAAAAAGGAUUUUACACCACCCUGGAAGGAACCCUCCAUCCUUUCCUGUGUGAAAGGUUAACGGAGUCUAUCCAUCUCAAGCUUCCUCGUGAAGAGAGCGUUUUAAAGAAGCGGGGUUCCAGCAGAUGUCUGAGAAGGAGCACUUGACCCUUUGAGAAAGAGUUCCACGAAGAGCACGUGCAUCCCUGGGCCUGUCCUUGCUGCCUUGCUGGCAUAACCUCCAUGUUGUUUCCUACUCUGUGAACGGUUAGUGUUACCAUCCUAGGCUGAGAUAGGUUGCCUUUCUCUAUUUCUAUUUGGUUCCCAUCAUGCCUUCCUUGUUCAUAGGUCUAGGAGAGUACCAGCCUCACUGGGUUGAAUCUCCUUUUUCUCUGUCCUAAUACAACAUGAGUUCUUUGAGGUCAGGGACUGUGUCUUGUUCAUCUUUAUAGACAAAGAGCUUAACAUGAUUUCUGGUAAGUGAAAGGAAUAUGAUAAAUGUGAUGAAUGAGAAACAAGUUUUAUUUUUUGACACUGUUCA
rnacentral:lncRNA from 12 species